rnacentral:lncRNA from 1 species
ACUGGCUUUUACACUAUUUGUGAUUCGUAAGCGCUAGCGAACUAUUUUCAAAAAUAUGUGUUGAAAGGAAAGGCUGACUCACAGGUUUCGACCCAUCAGCCACAGUGUUGAUAGGUCUCGACUUUACUCAAUUCGCCUGAAUAUUAGGUCUACUGUUGAGUCUCUUGCUGUUAGAUUUAUUAUGGACAACUCUAUUUAAUUUAUUAAGCUCACCCAACUCAACUUAUUAGUCUUCUGAAUUUAGCAUCAUAUGAUAGAAAAUUGGAUCUAUUUUAGCCGAUAAUAAGUAGCAAACACGUAAGGGCUAUAUAUGCAAAUAUAUGUAGCAUCCCAAUAGUCUCACAUCGGAUAAUGUGGGAGAGUCUGAUGAGUUUAUAAAUAACGGACGCACUAGUAAUAAUAACUGGACUUAAACAUUUUGGGCUGAUGAUUUGAACCCAACGAGUUAUUGUUGCUAGUGAAUUAGAUCGUUACAUUUGAUGUAACGGACAAACUAGUAGUAAUAACUUGAAUGAUGGGUGUAUAAGUAAUUAAGUCUAGAAAAUAU